CUUGCAAACCAAAGCUGGCGACCGGCGCACGGGUGAGUAACACGUAUCCAACCUGCCUCAUACUCGGGGAUAGCCUUUCGAAAGAAAGAUUAAUAUCCGAUAGCAUAUAUUUCCCGCAUGGGUUUUAUAUUAAAGAAAUUCGGUAUGAGAUGGGGAUGCGUUCCAUUAGUUUGUUGGGGGGUAACGGCCCACCAAGACUACGAUGGAUAGGGGUUCUGAGAGGAAGGUCCCCCACAUUGGAACUGAGACACGGUCCAAACUCCUACGGGAGGCAGCAUG
rnacentral:rRNA from 1 species